GAUGAACGCUGGCGGCGUGCCUAAUACAUGCAAGUCGAGCGAACGGACGAGAAGCUUGCUUCUCUGAUGUUAGCGGCGGACGGGUGAGUAACACGUGGAUAACCUACCUAUAAGACUGGGAUAACUUCGGGAAACCGGAGCUAAUACUGGAUAAUAUUUUGAACCGCAUGGUUCAAAAGUGAAAGACGGUCUUGCUGUCACUUAUAGAUGGAUCCGCGCUGCAUUAGCUAGUUGGUAAGGUAACGGCUUACCAAGGCAACGAUGCAUAGCCGACCUGAGAGGGUGAUCGGCCACACUGGAACUGAGACACGGUCCAGACUCCUACGGGAGGCAGCAGUAGGGAAUCUUCCGCAAUGGGCGAAAGCCUGACGGAGCAACGCCGCGUGAGUGAUGAAGGUCUUCGGAUCGUAAAACUCUGUUAUUAGGGAAGAACAUAUGUGUAAGUAACUGUUCACAUCUUGACGGUACCUAAUCAGAAAGCCACGGCUAACUACGUG
rnacentral:rRNA from 1 species